AGUGAACGCUGGCGGUAGGCCUAACACAUGCAAGUCGAACGGCAGCACAGGAGAGCUUGCUCUCUGGGUGGCGAGUGGCGGACGGGUGAGGAAUACAUCGGAAUCUACUCUGUCGUGGGGGAUAACGUAGGGAAACUUACGCUAAUACCGCAUACGACCUACGGGUGAAAGCAGGGGACCUUCGGGCCUUGCGCGAUUGAAUGAGCCGAUGUCGGAUUAGCUAGUUGGCGGGGUAAAGGCCCACCAAGGCGACGAUCCGUAGCUGGUCUGAGAGGAGGGUCAGCCACACUGGAACUGAGACACGGUCCAGAAUCCUACGGGAGGCAGCAGUGGGGAAUAUUGGACAAUGGGCGCAAGCCUGAUCCAGCCAUACCGCGUGGGUGAAGAAGGCCUUCGGGUUGUAAAGCCCUUUUGUUGGGAAAGAAAUCCAGCUGGCUAAUACCCGGUUGGGAUGACGGUACCCAAAGAAUAAGCACCGGCUAACUUCGUGCCAGCAGCCGCGGUAA
rnacentral:rRNA from 1 species